UUGCUUUGGCAGCACAUAUGCUAAAAUUGGAGCAAUACAUUAAAGAUUACCAUGAUCCUUGUGCAAGGAUGACAUGCAAAUCAUGAAGCAUUCCAUAUUAUG